rnacentral:rRNA from 1 species
AGUGAACGCUGGCGGCAGGCCUAACACAUGCAAGUCGAGCGGCAGCGGGUUCCCGCGAGGGGAUGCCGGCGAGCGGCGGACGGGUGAGGAACACAUCGGAAUCUGCCUGGUUGUGGGGGAUAACGUAGGGAAACUUACGCUAAUACCGCAUGAGACCCUGAGUCGACGGACUGGGGGUGAAAGUGAGGGACCUUCGGGCCGUCACGCGACCAGAUGAGCCGAUGUCGGAUUAGCUAGUUGGCGGGGUAACGGCCCGCCAAGGCGACGAUCCGUAGCUGGUCUGAGAGGAUGAUCAGCCACACUGGGACUGAGACACGGCCCAGACUCCUACGGG